UACUUUUGCAAGGCACUAUAUAUAUUCCAGGAAAAUCAAACUGAAGGUGAAAAGACUAGAUUCAUGGAUGAGUAUUUUUCCAUCAGUGAUUGUUUUAUUCUUUAAGAAUUACAGAUUUACAGUAUUACAUAAUUUCAUGUGAUGAAUACAUGUUUAACCCUAUAUAUGUAAAUAUCCCAUUCAUUUGUUUUAUAGAUUUUGCAGCAGACCAAGUUGAUUGUGGCUCAUUAAGCAGCUCAUAUGGAUUCCUUUAAAAUGUUCCUCUAUGUGUCAUGUGUUACCAUCAUCAUCCCAACGCUGAUGUCUGUUGUCAGUUGAUAAAACACACAUUCAAUGUCUUCUGUUAUUAAAGAAUGAUAGAAUUUCAUUAACAAGUUAUUUCACUUCUCAUAAUUUCUAGAAAACUGAAGUGAAAUUUGCUUAGCAACAAUACACUGGAAAAGCAAUUAGAAAAAAUAUAAAGUAAAAUAAACUGACAAAAGAAGAAAUAAAUCAAAAUAAAUCAUAAAUAAAAAGCAUCUAAAAAUCAUCUCCAACUUUAGAUAAAACAUUAAAUAUAAUACAAAAUUAAAAUAUCUACAAGACUUUCACAGUUUCAAUUAAAGUGGGUUUGGAAAUUUGAUUUGUAAUAAAGUUCACACCACUAUUGAUUCUAAAACACUUUUAUUUCUGUCAAUGUAAAAUGUCAUCCACCUUUUCACAAACGGUUCUUUAGGGAACACAGUGAAGAAUUAAAAAAGUAAAAAUGGUACAUGUGUUCAUCCUGUCAUUUACGGUUACUGUCAUGAGGAGGUUUCACCAUUUCUUCUAGUUUAUUUUCCAUAGCUUCCUUCUUCCUUGCUUUCUGUCUUUGUUGUCUUUUAUUUCAUUUCUCUCUUUUUGCUGCAUUAAUUUGUUUCUUUAUUGUAUUGGAUGAGAUUGUCACAUAAGGAUAACCAGAUGCAUGUUGUAUAGAAGUUACACAUGUAUGGCAGCCACUCUACUCCAAAAAUUUCUAUUAACCAUCCAAGACAUGUGUUAGAAAAUAAUCAUAAUUAAGCAUUCAGAGGUGCAGGAUAUAUUUAAUAGGAGUCAAAGCUUUAACAUAUACAGUAAGAGGAAGAUUAUUGUACUGUAACUAGCCAUAAUCUACAUACACAGUUAAAAAUGUACAUAAUGUAAACAAGAAUUUUUUUCUCGACUUACAAGGAAGUAGUCAAAAGCAUGUAGUGAAAAGGUUCAUUCUUUAAUUAACGUCUUGUUAGAGAAGCAAGUUUAUGGAUAAGACAGAAACUGCACACAUUCAUAUUUAUACUAUUUAAAGUUGGUUGUCUUGGACCUUGGACACACCCUUGGACCUUGGACACACCCUUGGACCUUGGACACACCCUUGGAACUUGGACACACCCUUGGACCUUGGACACAGCCCUUUCUUCUGGCUUUGGCACAGUAGCACGGCCAUAACAUGGAAACGUGUCACAAGUUAACUGUUCAAUAAAACACACAUGUACAGCUGCUCUUCGCCCACUGCAUCGGCAACCCUGAAGCGGUAGAGUGGAAAAGGCGGCGGUUCAGCACCUUGGCCAGCGGCACUAACCACGAGCUCCCGAUCUCCAGCACCGUGGCCAGCACCGCGGCAAGUGAGAGCGGGGCGGAGCGGCCGAAACUCCCGCCGAAAAUCACGGACCAAUCAGAGACAUCCAGCUGCCCCAGGACACCUCAUUGCCGAUUGAGCCUUCACUACGCUCUUGGAGAGGACCGCUUCACGGCUAUCCAGCCGCCCUCCUCCUGUUGUCUCGUUUGAGAGCCUGGAACUUUGCCUAUGCGCCCCCUACAGGAAGGAUGUGUUUUUGCUUUGACUGCCUUAUUAAUUUUCAUUCUGCUUUUAGUGGUUGAGAAAUUAAACUACAAAUAUUGGUCCAUGUAUGCAAAGCAUUACUCUAUGUAAAUAAUAAAAAAAAAGAUUGGUUUCAAUGCUAAUUGAUUCCUAUUGUUCAGCUGAUUUAUCUUGAAUUAGAUUCCAUAGAGACAUUUGCCAUCUUGACGUGGCCAAAGUGAAAAGCAGGUGAAAUGCUCUCAAUCUUCAAAUAUAAUACAUUUUCAACCAAUUGUAUUAUUGGAUGACUAUUUAUUUAUUUAUUAUUUUUUAUUAGUUGUUUGUGUUUGAUUAAAAUUAUUUAUUUAUUUUUUUCUGAG